GCAAAUGAAUGUAACUUUUGUUUGCUUAUAUACUUUAUCAUAUCUUCUUCUCUCAUUUUAAAACACAGGAAAUAAAGAAGUGUCUUCAGAAGUGUGGAAUAAGGAGGGACGUUGAUGUUUUCCAACUGAGCCUUGCCGAAAAAAAACUCACCAGCGUCCCUGACCUGUCCAGAUUUCACUUCCUGAGGGAGCUGUGGCUGAAUAACAACAAGAUCAGAGAGCUCAGCUGUCGUUCCCUCAACUGCUGCUUGACUGAACUUUACCUCCACAACAACAGCAUCAAGUCUAUUUCUGGGGCUCUAAAUCAUCUGACCUGCCUCCGACUUCUCUUCCUCCACAACAACCAGAUCCGAGGGCUGGACGACACGAUGCACGAGCUGAGGAGGAUGCAGCAGCUCCAAACUGCAACUUUUUUCCUCAACCCCAUCUCUCAUCAACCUGGGUAUCGCCACCAUGUGAUCCACUGCCUGCCGUCGCUCCAGGUUUUAGAUGGAAAAGAGGUGAAGUCGGCGGAGAGGAAGAAGUCCUUCCAGAUGCACAGCCAGGAGCGCCAUCGCGUCCUCCAGUCUGUGGCCUUCUGCAGACGGGCGACAUAACUCCACGAGCGGGAGAGGAUGUUUGUUAUUAACGCUGGCCAAUAGUCUGAUCAUUACACAGUGAAAACAUG